rnacentral:lncRNA from 1 species
UGUAUUUUUCUAUAAAUUUAAUCAAACUUGAAAGUAUUUGGUUUUUAAAAAUUGCAUUUCUUUGGUGGACUGAGAGAGUAUAUAAGAGAGAAACAAGAUGCAUUAUUCAAUGAUAUAUUGACCUUAAUUAUCGAUGAUGCAAAUGCAAAUGGCGAUCGAUGGAAUUGCUUGCUUGGCAAAUGGGCAACUGCUACACGCCAAAGAGCGAGGCUGUCAACAGUGCAUUCAAUUUAUAAUCGAGAUGCAUGACCGUGAUGGAAUAAUGGAGAGCUGCCACUGCCACUCCGAGCGAGAUGAGAUGAUUGAAUCCAAGGUCCAUCCAUAUUCCGAUCAUCGACUGGUCGUUUUCGGAUCAUUGGCAUUGGGGGCAAUUAGAAUUAUCAUCUGUUUAGGACAAUGAUGGGUCGGUCCAUCGACUUUGAUUUAUUUAAUUUGCUUGGACUUUUUUCCAGCUCGCUCAAUUAUUAGUAUAUUCAAAACUGUGUCAUGCAGUUCUUGUAAUAACCUCAACCUGACUACGACUCUAACGAGUAGGGAGAUCAAAAAAAAAAAAUAUAACUCUGGUCUAUUUAUUUGGUUCAACAUUAGCUAGAGUGUUAAGGCAACCCACACCACCUAUGCUUUAUUUAAUUUGCUUGGACCUUUUUUUCAGCUCGUUGAAUUAUUAGUAUAUAUAUUCGAAAACUGUUUCAUGCAAUUCUUGUAAAAACCUUAACCCGACUACAACUCUAACGAGUAGGAAGAUCAACAAAAAAAAAUAACUCUGGUCUAUUUGGAAUUUCAACAUUAACUAGUGUUAGGGCAACCCACCACCUACUAGAGCUACAACUUGUGGUGGCACAUGCAUAUACAUGUGUUGAUGCAAAACUGAUCUGCAAACACAAAGGGCUAAUACCCGAUUCAAACGUUAAGGCGUGCCAGCCGAUUUGACCUUGCUAUCGGCAAAGGUGAUAACUCGAAUACUUUAGUCCUGACAACAGCGAUGCGCCCGGAUGUCACGGCUAAGAGGU